rnacentral:rRNA from 1 species
UAUGACCUACGGGAGGCAGCAGUGGGGAAUAUUGCACAAUGGGGGAAACCCUGAUGCAGCGACGCCGCGUGAGUGAAGAAGUAUCUCGGUACGUAAAGCUCUAUCAGCAGGGAAGAAAAUGACGGUACCUGACUAAGAAGCCCCGGCUAACUACGUGCCAGCAGCCGCGGUAAUACGUAGGGGGCAAGCGUUAUCCGGAAUCACUGGGUGUAAAGGGAGCGUAGACGGCUGUGCAAGCCUGAAGUGAAAGGCGGGGGCCCAACCCCCGGACUGCUUUGGGAACUGUACGGCUGGAGUGCAGGAGG